GAUGAACGCUAGCGAUAGGCUUAACACAUGCAAGUCGAGGGGCAGCACAAGGUAGCUUGCUAUCUGGGUGGCGACCGGCGCACGGGUGCGUAACGCGUAUGCAACUUGCCCUAUACAGGAGGAUAACCCGUCGAAAGACGGACUAAUACUGCGUAUGCUCACAACUUGGCAUCAAGUGGUGAGGAAAGAAAUUCGGUAUAGGAUAGGCAUGCGUCCCAUUAGCUUGUUGGUGAGGUAACGGCUCACCAAGGCAACGAUGGGUAGGGGAACUGGGAGGUUUAUCCCCCACACUGGUACUGAGACACGGACCAGACUCCUACGGGAGGCAGCAGUGAGGAAUAUUGGUCAAUGGGCGCGAGCCUGAACCAGCCAAGUCGCGUGAAGGAUGACUGUCUUAUGGAUUGUAAACUUCUUUUAUACGGGAAUAACAAGAGUCACGUGUGACUCCCUGCAUGUACCGUAUGAAUAAGCAUCGGCUAACUCCGUG
rnacentral:rRNA from 1 species